AAGGGCACCCAUAACGGGGCCGACAAAGGAACAUUAAGAGGUAACAGAGAGCCGAGGCAAUGGGAAAGGAGUAUGGUAUCACGGAGGACACCUGUGGAGGUCACUAAGCAACGCUCGCUGCUACCGAGUCUCGUAGGUGGCACGGGCCGUGUCACCACACACACACUCCAUCGCCGACACCACUAGCUACGUGCCAAGACGUCUCCGCACUUGAGGGAUAGCGAACUGUUAACGACCUUUGGAGUCGGGUUUACUUUUAACAAUGGAGUGUGUGAUAGUGAAACAAUUAUUCAAAGUGAAUGAUUAGACGUCUUAAAGGUGAAAGGGCGAUUUGAGAAGCAAAUUGAAUCAAACAAAAACAAUCCAUUAAUCUUGAGUGAUCACUGACUAACGACCACAAAGAAAUAUCCAAGACACUAAAAAAUCAAACCGGAAAAAGUUUCUUAAAACCGUUACUACAUCAUGGUGCCAUGCAAAAACAAACUGUGAAGCCGCAACUUCGUCUCAGAGUCGAAAACAUACUAGAAAAUAAAACCUCAUGUGUGACGGUACACUGGAGGGACAUGAAGAGUGAAUGUAGAAGCGGUAAUUGUGAACUAAAAAUGUCUGUAUGACUAAGAUGAUCAACUCGUCGUCUCCGACGAAUGAAAGAACUUGACGGCCUCGUCAUGGCGACUGCGGGUCUUCGCAACUCCUUCCAUGCCUCCGCCUCCUCGACAUGUGUUUCUCGAGUCCCAGCCGCAUAUUGUCUUUCUCGCUGCAGACGCCCUUAUCGGAACAGACAUGGAUCGGAGCCAUGAAUUGCCAGUCGUGGGCGCCUAUAAGGAUGGGAGUGAAUACAUCUACAGGGGCUACACACCGCCGUCCCGCCCGGCGUCCCGUCCCCCUCUUGGCGCCCAGGCGGAGAUCCUUCAGCCAGGAGCUUGGUAUCCUGAGGAAAGUCGCUCCAGAAGAAUUCGAAGGUUGUCGCGGCGGAACACGGUGUCCCCGGCGAGAGGGUCGACGUACGAGUCUUAUCCCCUGGAAGCCUUGUCGUUCUCGAAUGGCAAUGGUGACGCGAGCAUCCCGUCGAAACCCGAGGAUGAGCAGGAGGCGCAGCGCCGUCAGCAGUUCCUCAACUUCGUCAGCGAGGCUACAAGGACCCUGAACAAGAUCUCCGAGGAGCGACGUCGGCGACCCUGGUGGGAGAGACUCAUCAUGUACCUGAGGGCGCUGUGGACUGACGAGCCAGCCAUCUCACGGCGCCCUUCGAAGCUCCUCUUCUGGCACAUCGACGCAGAGAACGGCGAGCACCUCACGACGGAACCGAGGUCGAACGGCGAGUACGUAGUCGCCACCCGGGAGCAUAUGUCGCCCGAGAGGCCCCAGAAAUCUUUCAAGACGAUCAUGACGGUGGUCCGCGCCCUUGCCCACAAUAAGGACCCCAGCCGAAUGCGCCUCAACAGCCCCGCGAACCAAAAGAUAAUUCCGGAGAGGAAACCGGAAGAACCGAAGGACUUGACCGCUGGAAACAACACGAAUAAGCGAUAGCGAAAAGACGACUGAGACUGAAUGGUGUCCUUGGCGGCUAAACAUUUCGCAUGUCGGUAUAAACCCGCUCCGCAGAAAGCCUUAUUGACUUAUUCAUUAGAUGGCGCUGAUGAAAUAUACAGUACUAGGCAAUAAGCGUCAAAGGUGAACGAGCACCCAACCAUCAGUUUUUUUUUCUGGAACUGUCCAUAAAACAAAGCGAAAAUGUGCGUUAGUUGUAAAUGUUACGUGGUCGAUGUCGAAACACUCACAAUUGCCGGAAGGAAGGGGUAUAAAGCCACACUGUUGACACACCCAUGCUAUCGAUGUAUCCACGGGUGUUUAUAGCAGCCAUGUUGUUAAUGCAACUGUUUUCUUUACGAUGUAACUUCGUUGUUAUCGCACUAAUACGUUGUUAAAGCAACUAUAUUGUUAUCCGUUGGCAUUGUCGUUUAAGUGAUAUAAAGAUAUAUAUUAAUAUAUAAUCUACAUUAAAAAAACAAACAAACUAUGAACCCUUACUUGUUACAGAAAACGGAAAUAUAUAUAUGUGUGUGUAUGUGUAAAGCUACUUCCUAAAGUUAACUGUCAGAGCAUCCAUAGAUAACAAUACACCACAUGAUGGAAGUUACCGAACGGGAAGAACGCCUGGGGAGGAAAAGUCGGAGACAAGAAGAAAACAGCAGAGAGCCACCGGCGAUGGAUAAACAGAAACAAGGUCGAAGAUGAUCCAGAAUCUAACGAUGAUGAUGACGAGGAAUUGGA
rnacentral:misc_RNA from 1 species